AAGAAAGGUACUGAAUUAUAUGCAAGACUUUGACAUUGUGUCUGAGAUACAGCAGAAAGAGAAGCCAGAAAGUUUAAAAGCAUGUGAAGAACCUGAGUCACCAUUGCUGGAGGGAGCCCUAUGGAAAGCAUGAGAAGAAAUGUAAGAGCCUUUUGAAGCACAGAUUGAUCCCAUCUGAUAACCAACAAGGAAAUGGGGCUUUAGGCAUAUAAUUCCCAAGGAACUGUAUUCGUCCAGCAGACAACAUGAGCUCAAAAGUAUAUUUUCCUCCAGAUUCUCCGGGAAGAACACAGCACUACAAACAUGAUUUCAGCCUCCUGAGAUCCUAUGCAGAUGUCCUAGUUUAGUACACCCAGACUUCUGAUCUAAAGAAGCUGUGAGAUAAUAUAUUUCUCUUGUUUUAAGCUGGUACAUUUAUUUUUUUAUGUCAGCGAUAGAAAAUUAAUACAGACAUUAAGUAUUUGUGUGACUUUGGAAAAGCCAGCUAAAUUAUUUAAGCAUUGUGCCCUAGCUAAUUUAUCAAAUGUUUAUUGAGUGUUUUGUAUGUAUUGUUAGUCAUUCAAAGAUACAUGUGAAAAGAAGCCAAGUUGAAUAGUAUACAAUCUCUAUCCUUAUCUAGAGGAAAAACUAUAGAGAUGAUGGCUAAGGUCUCUUUAGACACUAAAAUUUUAUACAUAAACUUUAAAUAUUUAUUAUAUGAGUGCCAAUAGUAAUUUAGGAAAGCUGAAUGAUCGUAGUUAAUUUCCCCGUUAAGAUGGCUUGUGACUCGUGGUACUGAGAUUUGAAUGCUUUAAAUAUUGAUGGUAAUUCUAAACUUUUCAUAGAUUACUGUAAAACAAUACCAAUAGUUAAAUAUUAAUAAAAUAAUAAUAAUAAAUAGAAAAUUGAAAUAGAUUACAUGGAAAAAUAGCAUCAAGAAAUAUGCA
rnacentral:lncRNA from 1 species